rfam:Camelus ferus unplaced genomic scaffold scaffold1392, whole genome shotgun sequence.
GGAGGUAUAGCUCUGGUAGAGCUCGUGCUUAGCAUGCCCAAGGUCCUGGGUUCAGUCCCCAGUACUUCCA